rnacentral:rRNA from 1 species
UGAGGAAUAUUGCGCAAUGGGGGCAACCCUGACGCAGCGACGCCGCGUGAGUGAGGAAGGCCUUCGGGUCGUAAAGCUCUGUCAAGAGGGAAGAAGUGCAUAGCGGGUAAUAUCCGUUAUGUUUGACGGUACCUCUAAAGGAAGCACCGGCUAACUCCGUGCCAGCAGCCGCGGUAAUACGGAGGGUGCAAGCGUUGUUCGGAAUCACUGGGCGUAAAGGGCGCGCAGGCGGUUUGGUAAGUCAGAUGUGAAAGCCCAUGGCUUAACUGUGGAAGUGCAUUUGAAACUGUCAGACUUGAGUACCAGAGGGGAAAGUGGAAUUCCUGGUGUAGAGGUGAAAUUCGUAGAUAUCAGGAGGAAUACCGGUGGCGAAGGCGACUUUCUGGCUGAGUACUGACGCUGAGGCGCGAAAGCGUGGGGAGCAAACA